GCGGAUGUGGCGAAAUUGGCAGACGCAUUAGACUUAGGAUCUAACGCCGCAAGGCAUGGGGGUUCGAGUCCCUCCAUCCGCA
rnacentral:tRNA from 2 species